UUGGAGGGCAAGUCUGGUGCCAGCAGCCGCGGUAAUUCCAGCUCCAAUAGCGUAUAUUAAAGUUGUUGCAGUUAAAAAGCUCGUAGUUGAAUUUCGGGAUUGACACAUCGGUCGUGCCUUAAGGGGCAUGAACUGGUGUAGUCAAUUUCUCACCUUCUGGAGAACCGCGAUGCCCUUAAUUGGGUGUCGCGGGGAACCAGGACCUUUACUUUGAAAAAAUUAGAGUGUUUAAAGCAGGCAUUUUGCUUGAAUACAUUAGCAUGGAAUAAUAAAAUAGGACGGCAUGAUUCUAUUUUGUUGGUUUCUAGGAUCACCGUAAUGAUUAAUAGGGAUAGUUGGGGGCAUUAGUAUUCAAUUGUCAGAGGUGAAAUUCUUGGAUUUAUUGAAGACUAAUUACUGCGAAAGCAUUUGCCAAGGAUGUUUUCAUUAAUCAAGAACGAAAGUUAGGGGAUCGAAGACGAUCAGAUACCGUCAUAGUCUUAACCAUAAACUAUGCCGACUAGGAAUCAGACGAUGUUAAUUUUUUAAUGACUCAUUCGGCGCCUUACGGGAAACCAAAGUGUUUGGGUUC
rnacentral:rRNA from 1 species